CUUUAUUAAAAUCGAAAAGAAUCGCUACAAUUUCUAAUAAUUUCUGUUUAGAGUCAAUCGCAUAAAUAUAAAUAUGGCGAGCACUGACUUUUCAGAACUGUUUGCUAAAAUGAGUUACAUGAGUGAUAGAACAACCUACCUGUAGAACAGCAUUCGCAUAACUUGCUUGAAUGUAAAGGUGAUCUACUGUGUGCGUCUCUGGAAUGCAACAGAACCUUGCUUGUAGAUUAGCGCACGGCAACAAGGCUGAGGGGCGUGAAAAUACAAAAUUGUCAAAACCUCGAAUUCAAACGCUCAUUUAUUUAACAAUAAUCUGCACUUGCAAUUGCGGCAACCACGCCGGCAGCCAGCCUCGCCAGCCAACUCUCACCUCUCUAGUUUUCCAGUUGUCGGACAACACGAUAAGGGUUUACGGUAGUGUUUACUUACGUCAUGUUCGGCAAGUGGACUCUUUGCCAUUAAGAAACGAUGCAAAUCUCAACGCUUCUACUGCAUAUUCCUUGGAGAGAAUUGUAACACAGAUGAAAUACGCUUUAACAUUAGCUACCGCUUUUAUCCACUUCUAUCGUUAGUAUGGAGCACAAAGUACUAUCACAAUAUCAAAGCUUUGUAGCGACACUUUGCCUAAUAAAGCAAUUCUGGUGCGCUGCACUUUAACAGAAUCCCGAUUAUAUUUCCCACGGACGGUAAUAGGUACGUUUUAAUGGAUGGAUUCGAUACGCAAAAACAAGACGUUAUCAAGUUUCAUAUUUUUGUGUGCACGUCAAAGUUUCUCCUUCUGAUAUAGGCCGCGUUUGCAAUGUCCCUUAACAGUAACACCUCACCAAAUUGAUAAUUACGGCUUAGAUUAUUGCCACCUUAAUAGGUAGCUUGUGUUAUACGAUACUAGUCGCCUAAUUCGGUUACAGUCGACACUGAUAGUAGGUUUUUAGAAACUAAAAAAUUUUGGAAAAUGUAGGAGCUGGCGGCCCCCCCGCCAACAACUAAUGUAUUAAAUUUUCUGAUUGAUUGCAUUUUCGUUUCCUCUUUGGUCUUACGAUGCAGCGGACGAGAGCUUAAUUAUACAGGCGUGCGAACGGACGCGGACAAAGAAUUCGGUUUGUCGAAAGGGACCACGCCUCAAGGAUGUUCUUGCCGAAUUUUUUUCAAAAAGGUAGUAAAUUUACUGCUUGUUUACUUAUAGCGCUUAUGCGAUUAUAUUAAUGCGAUGUUUGUUUAAGGGAUUUCAUCAACGGGUUGCAUUACUUCGCCUAUUAUGUAAUAAUAAUCAAUUUUGUUACUGAAUAGGAAAGAUUUCGAGAGAGGUAGAAAAUUUAAGGUUCCUUUUGUGGUAAAAAAUUUUUUAUUGUAAACUAAUUUUUGUAUCCAUAAAUUAUCAGCGACAUGAACACCAUAUGCAUCUCCUCUCACGCCAAAUAUGUAAUGUGGACUCAGUUGAUCGAGUAAAUACUGUCUUAGUGGUCGUUCUUAAAUCGUUAUGUAAAUGCUUAAUCGUAGCGCUUUCGACAAAGGGAGAAGAGCGACAAAAGGAGAAGAGAGCAAUAAAAUUAGGAAGAGAGUGCUUAUAAGUUAGUCGAGAAAGUUGAGCAGCUACGUGAACAACAACAAGUGUCAACAAACAGACGUCAAAUCACGUUUAUCCGGAAAUAAUUGGCCCCGACAAGCGUUUGCUAAGGAAGUCGAACUUUUACGGGACUUUACCAAAAAUAUUAAGUGAUCAACUUUUCAAAAAUCAAACGAACUGAUCAAGUUACCGAAUCCCAAGAGAAUGAAAAAACGCAAAGCAUACGAGCUGGCACAAAUAUAAAAACGCACCAUCAGCGACAUUCUAAU